UACGGAGGGGACUAGCGUUGUUCGGAAUUACUGGGCGUAAAGCGCACGUAGGCGGAUUGUUAAGUCAGGGGUGAAAUCCCGAGGCUCAACCUCGGAACUGCCUUUGAUACUGGCAAUCUCGAGUCCGGAAGAGGUGAGUGGAAUUCCUAGUGUAGAGGUGAAAUUCGUAGAUAUUAGGAAGAACACCAGUGGCGAAGGCGGCUCACUGGUCCGGUACUGACGCUGAGACGCGAAAGCGUGGGGAGCGAACAGG
rnacentral:rRNA from 1 species